CGUAAGGGGGCAAGCGUUGUUCGGAAUUACUGAACGUAAAGGGCUCGUAGGCAGCCAUCUAAGUCAGACGUGAAAUCCCUCGGCUUAACCAGAGAACUGCGUCUGAUACUGGACGGCUUGAGUUUGGGAAAGGGAUGCGGAAUUCCAGAUGUAGCGGUGAAAUGCGUAGAUAUCUGGAGGAACACCGGUGGCGAAAACGGCAUCCUGGACCAACACUGACGCUGAGGAGCGAAAGCCAAAAGAGCAAACGGGAUUAGAUACCCCGGUAGUCCCAACCCUAAACGAUGAAUGCUUGGUAUAACGGAUAUCGAUCCCUGCCAUGCCGAAGCUAACGCAUUAAGCAUUCCGCCUAAAGAGUACGGUCGCAAGGCUG
rnacentral:rRNA from 1 species